ACCAAGCCAAUGACGGGUAGCCGGUGUGAGAGCACGACCGGCCACAAGGUCACUGAAACACGGGGCCUACACCUACGGGUGGCAGCAACCGGGAAUAUUGCGCAAUGGGCGAAAGCCUGACGCAGCGACACCGCGUGUGGGAAGAAGCUUUUCGGAGUGUAAACCACUGUGGCAAGGGAAGAAUUUUUGACGGUACCUUGCUAGAAAGCACCUGCUAACUACGUGCCAGAAGCCUCGGUAAUACGUAGGGUGCAAGCGUUAUCCGGAUUUAUUGGGCGUAAAGAGUUCCGCAGGCGUCUUUACAAGUUUCUUGUUUAAGCCUGAGGCUCAACUUCAGAAAAGCAAGAAAAACUGUAAAGAUUGAGUUUGUUUGGGGAAGCUGGAAUUCUCGGUGGAGGGGUGAAAUCCGUAGAUAUCGAGAGGAACACCAAUCGCGAAGGCAAGCUUCUAAAACAAUACUGACGCUAAGGGACGAAAGCUUGGGUAGCAAAAGGGAUUAGAGACCCCUGUAGUCCAAGCCGUAAACUUUCCUCGCUAGUUGCCUGGUUAAUAAUGCAU
rnacentral:rRNA from 1 species